GACGAACGCUGGCGGCGUGCUUAACACAUGCAAGUCGAGCGAGGCCCACCUUUCGGGGUGGUGUCCUAGCGGCGAACGGGUGAGUAACACGUGGGCAACCUGCCCCCGGCUCUGGGAUAACCCCAAGAAAUUGGGGCUAAUACCGGAUAUGACCGCUGACCGCAUGGUCUGGUGGUGGAAAGAUUUAUCGGCUGGGGAUGGGCCCGCGGCCUAUCAGCUUGUUGGUGGGGUAGUGGCCUACCAAGGGCACGACGGGUAGCCGGCCUGAGAGGGUGACCGGCCACACUGGGACUGAGACACGGCCCAGACUCCUACGGGAGGCAGCAGUGGGGAAUAUUGCGCAAUGGGCGGAAGCCUGACGCAGCGACGCCGCGUGGGGGAUGACGGCCUUCGGGUUGUAAACCUCUUUCAGCAGGGACGAAGCCGUGAGGUGACGGUACCUGCAGAAGAAGCACCGGCCAACUACGUGCCAGCAGCCGCGGUAAAAC
rnacentral:rRNA from 1 species